UAAGUUAGAAAGGGCGCACGGUGGAUGCCUUGACACUAGGAGUCGAUGAAGGACGGGACUAACGCCGAUAUGCUUCGGGGAGCUGUAAGUAAGCUUUGAUCCGAAGAUUUCCGAAUGGGGAAACCCACCAUACGUAAUGGUAUGGUAUCCUUAUCUGAAUACAUAGGAUAAGGAAGACAGACCCAGGGAACUGAAACAUCUAAGUACCUGGAGGAAGAGAAAGCAAAUGCGAUUUCCUGAGUAGCGGCGAGCGAAACGGAACAUAGCCCAAACCAAGAGGCUUGCCUCUUGGGGUUGUAGGACAUUCUAUACGGAGUUACAAAGGAACGAGGUAGACGAAGCGACCUGGAAAGGUCCGUCGUAGAGGGUAACAACCCCGUAGUCGAAACUUCGUUCUCUCUUGAAUGUAUCCUGAGUACGGCGGAACACGUGAAAUUCCGUCGGAAUCUGGGAGGACCAUCUCCCAAGGCUAAAUACUCCCUAGUGAUCGAUAGUGAACCAGUACCGUGAGGGAAAGGUGAAAAGCACCCCGGAAGGGGAGUGAAAGAGAUCCUGAAACCGUGUGCCUACAAAUAGUCAGAGCCCGUUAACGGGUGAUGGCGUGCCUUUUGUAGAAUGAACCGGCGAGUUACGAUCCCGUGCGAGGUUAAGCUGAAGAGGCGGAGCCGCAGCGAAAGCGAGUCUGAAUAGGGCGUUUAGUACGUGGUCGUAGACCCGAAACCAGGUGAUCUACCCAUGUCCAGGGUGAAGUUCUAGGUAACACUGAAUGGAGGCCCGAACCCACGCACGUUGAAAAGUGCGGGGAUGAGGUGUGGGUAGCGGAGAAAUUCCAAUCGAACCUGGAGAUAGCUGGUUCUCCCCGAAAUAGCUUUAGGGCUAGCCUUAAGUGUAAGAGUCUUGGAGGUAGAGCACUGAUUGGACUAGGGGUCCUCAUCGGAUUACCGAAUUCAGUCAAACUCCGAAUGCCAAUGACUUAUCCUUAGGAGUCAGACUGCGAGUGAUAAGAUCCGUAGUCAAAAGGGAAACAGCCCAGACCGCCAGCUAAGGUCCCAAAGUGUGUAUUAAGUGGAAAAGGAUGUGGAGUUGCUUAGACAACUAGGAUGUUGGCUUAGAAGCAGCCACCAUUUAAAGAGUGCGUAAUAGCUCACUAGUCGAGUGACUCUGCGCCGAAAAUGUACCGGGGCUAAAUACACCACCGAAGCUGCGGAUUGAUACCAAUGGUAUCAGUGGUAGGGGAGCGUUCUAAGGACAGUGAAGUCAGACCGGAAGGACUGGUGGAGUGCUUAGAAGUGAGAAUGCCGGUAUGAGUAGCGAAAGACGGGUGAGAAUCCCGUCCACCGAAUGCCUAAGGUUUCCUGAGGAAGGCUCGUCCGCUCAGGGUUAGUCAGGACCUAAGCCGAGGCCGACAGGCGUAGGCGAUGGACAACAGGUUGAUAUUCCUGUACCACCUCUUUAUCGUUUGAGCAAUGGAGGGACGCAGAAGGAUAGAAGAAGCGUGCGAUUGGUUGUGCACGUCCAAGCAGUUAGGCUGAUAAGUAGGCAAAUCCGCUUAUCGUGAAGGCUGAGCUGUGAUGGGGAAGCUCCUUAUGGAGCGAAGUCUUUGAUUCCCCGCUGCCAAGAAAAGCUUCUAGCGAGAUAAAAGGUGCCUGUACCGCAAACCGACACAGGUAGGCGAGGAGAGAAUCCUAAGGUGUGCGAGAGAACUCUGGUUAAGGAACUCGGCAAAAUGACCCCGUAACUUCGGGAGAAGGGGUGCUUUCUUAACGGAAAGCCGCAGUGAAUAGGCCCAAGCGACUGUUUAGCAAAAACACAGCUCUCUGCGAAGCCGUAAGGCGAAGUAUAGGGGGUGACACCUGCCCGGUGCUGGAAGGUUAAGGAGAGGGGUUAGCGUAAGCGAAGCUCUGAACUGAAGCCCCAGUAAACGGCGGCCGUAACUAUAACGGUCCUAAGGUAGCGAAAUUCCUUGUCGGGUAAGUUCCGACCCGCACGAAAGGUGUAACGAUUUGGGCACUGUCUCAACCAGAGACUCGGUGAAAUUAUAGUACCUGUGAAGAUGCAGGUUACCCGCGACAGGACGGAAAGACCCCGUGGAGCUUUACUGUAGCCUGAUAUUGAAUUUUGGUACAGUUUGUACAGGAUAGGCGGGAGCCUUUGAAACCGGAGCGCUAGCUUCGGUGGAGGCGCUGGUGGGAUACCGCCCUGACUGUAUUGAAAUUCUAACCUACGGGUCUUAUCGACCCGGGAGACAGUGUCAGGUGGGCAGUUUGACUGGGGCGGUCGCCUCCUAAAGUGUAACGGAGGCGCCCAAAGGUUCCCUCAGAAUGGUUGGAAAUCAUUCGUAGAGUGCAAAGGCAUAAGGGAGCUUGACUGCGAGACCUACAAGUCGAGCAGGGACGAAAGUCGGGCUUAGUGAUCCGGUGGUUCCGCAUGGAAGGGCCAUCGCUCAACGGAUAAAAGCUACCCCGGGGAUAACAGGCUUAUCUCCCCCAAGAGUCCACAUCGACGGGGAGGUUUGGCACCUCGAUGUCGGCUCAUCGCAUCCUGGGGCUGUAGUCGGUCCCAAGGGUUGGGCUGUUCGCCCAUUAAAGCGGUACGCGAGCUGGGUUCAGAACGUCGUGAGACAGUUCGGUCCCUAUCCGUCGUGGGCGUAGGAAAUUUGAGAGGAGCUGUCCUUAGUACGAGAGGACCGGGAUGGACGCACCGCUGGUGUACCAGUUGUUCUGCCAAGGGCAUAGCUGGGUAGCUAUGUGCGGAAGGGAUAAGUGCUGAAAGCAUCUAAGCAUGAAGCCCCCCUCAAGAUGAGAUUUCCCAUAGCGUAAGCUAGUAAGAUCCCUGAAAGAUGAUCAGGUUGAUAGGUUCGAGGUGGAAGCAUGGUGACAUGUGGAGCUGACGAAUACUAAUAGAUCGAGGACUUAACCA
rnacentral:rRNA from 1 species